UAGGGAAUCUUCCGCAAUGGGCGAAAGCCUGACGGAGCAACGCCGCGUGAGUGAUGAAGGUCUUCGGAUCGUAAAACUCUGUUAUUAGGGAAGAACAAAUGUGUACGUAACUAUGCACGUCUUGACGGUACCUAAUCAGAAAGCCACGUCUAACUACGUGCCAGCAGCCGCGGUAUUACGUAGGUGGCAAGCGUUAUCCGGAAUUAUUGGUCGUAAAGCGCGCGUAGGAGGUUUUUUAAGUCUGAUGUGAAAGCCCACGGCUCAACCGUGGAGGGUCAUUGGAAACUGGAAAACUUGAGUGCAGAAGAGGAAAGUGGAAUUCCAUGUGUAGCGGUGAAGUGAGCAGAGAUAUGGAGGAACACCAGUGGCGAAGGCGACUUUCUGGUCUGUAACUGACGCUGAUGUGCGAAAGCGUGGUGAUCAAACAGG
rnacentral:rRNA from 1 species